GCAUCUUCCCGUCAUCUCAAACGCUUUGCUCUCUCACCAGGACUAUUUACAAAGGCCACAGAGACGAUUAGCCGUGUUUUUAAGAUUGUUUUUCCUGUUAAUAAUGGAUAAAUAUUGUUCAUCUGUCACUAGAACCAUAAAAACUUCCUUUAAAACCAGUGUAACGUCAACUAGAGUCUUUUGAAAGUAGUAAUGCGAUGCAGAAGUGUUUCAAAAUACGGUCAUCUCUUUCUGUCAGUUAAAAUCGCCUUUCCUUUCCUCUUCCAAGUGAACAGGGCAGCCCAAGCACUUCGUGAGAUGUGUUUCCAGCUGCCUAGUGUGUGUUCAUCCAAGACCGUGGGGGAAAAAAGUUAAGAGGAAACAAACGAACAGGAAAAAAAAAAGGUAGACAGAUUUCCCCUCCCCCCUACCUGCUCUCACCAUUCCUUCACCCCUCCCCUACGCAACCUGGAAGAGGAGAAGGAGGGGGAAGGAGAAGAGAAGAUACAGGUAAGUACAUUAUAUACCUGGCCUAAUUACCUGGGAAAUUAGUAGCAGUAGUAGUAGUAGUAGUAGUAGUAGUAGUAGUAGUAGUAGUAGUAGUAGUAGUAGUAGUAGUUAAUAAAUAAUGUCACUUUUCAUGUUUAAGUAAUUUUUCAGAGUGCCUUUUCAAUUAUUUUUCUUUUCCUAACUCUUCCUUUUGUUUUUUUGUAACGGCAACAAAAAAAAUAGUUAAAAAAAAAUAGGCCUACUGAAUGUACUAGUCUGAAAGGAAUCCAAAUUUUGAGAAGUGUUUUGAAAUUUUCCUCUUAAGCAGUUCAAGUCAAAGGGAGAAGGAAACACAGAUGCAGACAAGGAGUUCCAGAGUUUACAGUAAAAGGAGUGAAAGACUGAGAAUACUACUGGUCAACUCUUACAUUAGGGAGAUGGACAGGACAGGGUAAGUAAGAGGAAAAAAGAGGAAAAACACCGGUACUUUUAUCUCGUAUUCUCUUAUUAUUCUUAUUCUCUUCCUCCUCCUUCCUCUUCAGUAAUAGGAAUAAGAGGAAAUAAGCAAUACUUUUCCCAUUAUCCUCUUCCUCCUCUUCCUUUUUUUCCCUUUAACU